UAUUCCCAUAUGGACUCUAACCAUAACCAACGGCAUGAAAAACCAUCGUUGUAAUUCAACUAUAAGAAC
rnacentral:tRNA from 1 species